GGUUGAGUGGCGCAAUGGUAGCGCGUUACUUUCCGGUCUCUCGCUGAUUGGUAAAGGUUCUGGGUUCGAGUCCCAGCUUGAUCG